CGUAGGCAGCGAGCGUUGUUCGGAGUUACUGGGCGUAAAGCGUGCGUAGGCGGUGUCCUAAGUUUGGUGUGAAAUCUCCCGGCUCAACUGGGAGGGUGCAUCGAAAACUGGGGUGCUGGAGUGUGGGAGAGGUAGGCGGAAUUCCUGGUGUAGCGGUGAAAUGCGUAGAUAUCAGGAGGAACACCUGUGGUGUAGACGGCUUACUGGACCAUGACUGACGCUGAGGCACGAAAGCGUGGGGAGCAAACAGGAUUAGAUACCCUGGUAGUCCACGCCCUAAACGAUGCAUACUUGGUGUGGGUAAUUCAUUUUAUCCGUGCCGGAGCUAACGCGUUAAGUAUGCCGCCUGGGGAGUACGGUCGCAAGGCUG
rnacentral:rRNA from 1 species